UACCAGCACCCCGAGUGGUCGGGACGUUUAUUGGGCCUAAAGCAUCCGUAGCCGGUUCUACAAGUCUUCCGUUAAAUCCAGCUGCUUAACAGAUGGGCUGCGGAAGAUACUAUGGAGCUAGGAGGCGGGAGAGGCAAGCGGUACUCGAUGGGUAGGGGUAAAAUCCGUUGAUCCAUUGAAGACCACCAGUGGCGAAGGCGGCUUGCCAGAACGCGCUCGACGGUGAGGGAUGAAAGCUGGGGG
rnacentral:rRNA from 1 species